rnacentral:rRNA from 1 species
UACGUAGGUGGCAAGCGUUGUCCGGAUUUACUGGGCGUAAAGAGCGCGCAGGCGGUCGUUCAAGUCGCGUGUGAAAGCCCCCGGCUCAACUGGGGAGGGUCACGCGAUACUGAUCGACUCGAAGGCAGGAGAGGGUAGUGGAAUUCCGGGUGUAGCGGUGAAAUGCGUAGAUAUCCGGAGGAACACCAGUGGCGAAGGCGACUUUCUGGCCUGUUCUUGACGCUGAGGCGCGAAAGCUAGGGGAGCAAACGGG